rnacentral:rRNA from 1 species
UGGGGGAUAUUGCACAAUGGGGGAAACCCCGAUGCAGCGACGCCGCGUGGAGGAAGAAGGUUUUCGGAUUGUAAACUCCUGUCGUUAGGGACGAUAAUGACGGUACCUAACAAGAAAGCACCGGCUAACUACGUGCCAGCAGCCGCGGUAAAACGUAGGUCACAAGCGUUGUCCGGAAUUACUGGGUGUAAAGGGAGCGCAGGCGGGAAGACAAGUUGGAAGUGAAAUCCAUGGGCUCAACCCAUGAACUGCUUUCAAAACUGUUUUUCUUGAGUAGUGCAGAGGUAGGCGGAAUUCCCGGUGUAGCGGUGGAAUGCGUAGAUAUCGGGAGGAACACCAGUGGCGAAGGCGGCCUACUGGGCACCAACUGACGCUGAGGCUCGAAAGUGUGGGUAGCAAACAGGAUUAGAUACCCUGGUAGUCCACACUGUAAACGAUGAUUACUAGGUGUUGGAGGAUUGACCCCUUCAGUGCCGCAGUUAACACAAUAAGUAAUCCACCUGGGGAGUACGACCGCAAGGUUGAAACUCAAAGGAAUUGACGGGGCCCGCACAAGCAGUGGAGUAUGUGGUUUAAUUCGACGCAACGCGAAGAACCUUACCAAGUCUUGACAUCCCUUGACGAUGCUGGAAACAGUAUUUCUCUUCGGAGCAAGGAGACAGGUGGUGCAUGGUUGUCGUCAGCUCGUGUCGUGAGAUGUUGGGUUAAGUCCCGCAACGAGCGCAACCCUUAUGGUCAGUUACUACGCAAGAGGACUCUGGCCAGACUGCCGUUGACAAAACGGAGGAAGGUGGGGAUGACGUCAAAUCAUCAUGCCCUUUAUGACCUGGGCUACACACGUACUACAAUGGCGUUUAACAAAGAGAAGCAAGACCGCGAGGUGGAGCAAAACUCAAAAACAACGUCUCAGUUCAGAUUGCAGGCUGCAACUCGCCUGCAUGAAGUCGGAAUUGCUAGUAAUCGCGGAUCAGCAUGCCGCGGUGAAUACGUUCCC